GACGAACGCUGGCGGCGUGCUUAACACAUGCAAGUCGAACGGAAAGGCCCUGCUUGCAGGGUACUCGAGUGGCGAACGGGUGAGUAACACGUGGGUGAUCUGCCCUGCACUUCGGGAUAAGCCUGGGAAACUGGGUCUAAUAACGGACAGGAGCCACUCUUAGUGUGAUGGUUGGAAAGUUUUUUCGGUGUAGGAUGAGCUCGCGGCCUAUCAGCUUGUUGGUGGGGUAAUGGCCUACCAAGGCGGCGACGGGUAGCCGGCCUGAGAGGGUGGACGGCCACAUUGGGACUGAGAUACGGCCCAGACUCCUACGGGAGGCAGCAGUGGGGAAUAUUGCACAAUGGGCGCAAGCCUGAUGCAGCAACGCCGCGUGGGGGAUGACGGCCUUCGGGUUGUAAACUCCUUUCGCUAGGGACGAAGCGUUUGUGACGGUACCUAGAGAAGAAGCACCGGCUAACUACGUG
rnacentral:rRNA from 1 species